rnacentral:rRNA from 1 species
GAUGAACGCUGACAGAAUGCUUAACACAUGCAAGUCUACUUGAACUUCGGUUUGGGUGGCGGACGGGUGAGUAACGCGUAAAGAACUUGCCUCACAGUUAGGGACAACAUUUGGAAACGAAUGCUAAUACCUGAUAUUAUGAUUUUAGGGCAUCCUAGGAUUAUGAAAGCUAUAUGUGCUGUGAGAGAGCUUUGCGUCCCAUUAGCUAGUUGGAGAGGUAACGGCUCACCAAGGCGAUGAUGGGUAGCCGGCCUGAGAGGGUGAACGGCCACAAGGGGACUGAGACACGGCCCUUACUCCUACGGGAGGCAGCAGUGGGGAAUAUUGGACAAUGGACCAAAAGUCUGAUCCAGCAAUUCUGUGUGCACGACGGCGUUUUUCGGAAUGUAAAGUGCUUUCAGUUGAGAAGAAAAGAAUGACGGUACCAACAGAAGAAGUGACGGCUAAAUACGCG